ensembl:lncRNA novel transcript
CUUUGCGGAGCUGCUUUUCAGCAGAGACCUGCAGCAUCAGAAAGAGCCAGUGAGCUGGUGACCUGGGAAAAGAGAGUUGCAGGCAAAGGGAACGGCCAGUGCAGAGGCCGUGGGGUAAGAAUAACCUUGGUGUGCUCCAGGGACAGAAAGAAGACCAGGGCACCCAGUCCACUGAGUGGAAGGAAGAGAAAUAUGCCAAGGGUGGAAAGCCGCCGUGUAAGAAGUACCUUUCACCUUCCACCAUGAUUGUGAGGCCUCCCCAGCCACGUGGAAAUGGCAGGUGCAGAGGAUCCAGCAUGUUAUUCUGAAACCCCAGAAGACGCUGCAGCUACCAAAUAGAAGGAGCCUGGAUCCCUGAAUGUCUUCAUGGAACAGAACAUUCUCCUCACUCCAGUCUGUUUGAACCAGAAUAUGACCUGAGCAAGAAAUAAGCCUUAAUUAUAUUUGACCAUAGAAUUCUGGUGAUAUUUCUAUGGCUCCUCCCCUCCUUCCAAACUUUACGUCUGCCUGAGCCCUGAGGGAUCUGACUCUAAUUUGAAGAACUCAGGAGAGACCUUCUAGCUUCGCUAUAAGCAUCUCUACCCAACCGCUACUAUGCCCCACCUCCGCAAAGUUCCUGGCUCCACUUUAAUGAAAGAAUGAUGGGGAAAGAGCAGCAUCUGCAGACCCAGGUCUGCAGGAGAAUCGGGUCCUCUCUGCUCUUGGAAAUGCUGCUUAGCUGCCCACACCAUUUGCAUUGCUUUUACUUUGGCCACCCCACCCACCGCCCUGCUGAGAAGCAACCACAGCACCUGUGAACCUGCAGCAAUCAAGAAUAGAACUCACCUGCUGGUCUCUGACUCCUCUUGGGCCACAAUCAGCACUUGGGGACCGUGGGGUGCUAUAAAUUAGGCAGCCUCCCUUGUACCAUUGUCUCAGCUAUUGCUGGACUCUGCUGCCUGUCUGCCCCCUGUUCCUCUAAACCACAUGUCUGCUGUCCUUGCAACAUCCUCUGGGCCUCCAGUGGCUUGACUGGACUCCUAGUUUGUUUCCUCUUGGGUCUAUCUGUUCCCACUGAGGCCUCCAAAUUCAGGAAUCCUCCCUCCACACUGCACUUUGGGCGAACUUGAGGGUGCGCUCAUAAUCAGAGGCACUGCCUGGCGGAGACAAGAGGUGAACAGAGAGCGUUAGCCCAGGACACUGAUCUGCAUGGCACAGAGAUAAACGUUACGAUAAUCAUUACUAUUGGUAACAUUUAUUGGCACAUGCAUUGUGCCAGGGAAUUUGUAUUCAUCAUUGCAUAGAAUCCUCUAAACCACCCUCUGAUGUAGAUGCUACUAGGAAGUGGCUAUGCAAUCGAAACACACAGUUAGUGUUAUUUUAUCACAGACUGUAAUGUACUAUCUACAAAUGGCUCAUUAUGUAUUCACCUGUGUUUUCAGAUAUAGAGUCACCCUGCAUUAUUAUGCCAAUUUCACAGAUGAAGAGACAAAGACUUACAGACAUCACUGUAAUCAGAGAGUUCAGAUUCCAAUUCAGGUCUAACUCCAAAAGCUGUGCCCUCAAUCUUGUACUAUGUGAAUCCACCACGUGGGUGCCAGCCCCUAUGAUCUCUCCACUCCUGAAGGCUGCCCCACUGCACAUGCAGAGAGACUCGGACAACCCCAUCCAUAACGUAACUCAGGGAGGGAGUUCCAUGGGGUGUGGGAGUUUUAGAACUAGAGGAUCUCAGAAUUUGAAAGAACCUUAGGGUUGCAUGCAGUGAUUCUGAACUGUUUCUGAGCUACUUAAGAAUAAUGAAUGCUAUAUGCACA